UACAGAGGGUGCGAGCGUUACCCGGAAUUACUGGGCGUAAAGCGUGCGUAGACGGCUAUCUAAGUCGGGUGUGAAAGCCCGGGGCUCAACCCCGGGUCGGCCGUGCCGACUGUAAGACUAGAGUGCUGUAGGGGCAGGCGGAAUUCCGGGUGUAGCGGUGGAAUGCGUAGAGAUCCGGAGGAAGACCGGUGGCGAAGGCGGCCUGCUGGGCAGUUACUGACACUGAGGCGCGACAGCGUGGGGAGCAAACAGG
rnacentral:rRNA from 1 species